GAGGGCAUAGCUCAGUGGUAGAGCGCGUGCUUAGCACACACGGGGUCCUGGGUUCAAUCCCCAGUACCUCCA
rnacentral:tRNA from 1 species